rnacentral:rRNA from 1 species
AGAGCGAACGCUGGCGGCAGGCUUAACACAUGCAAGUCGAGCGGGCGUAGCAAUACGUCAGCGGCAGACGGGUGAGUAACGCGUGGGAACAUACCUUUUGGUUCGGAACAACACAGGGAAACUUGUGCUAAUACCGGAUAAGCCCUUACGGGGAAAGAUUUAUCGCCGAAAGAUUGGCCCGCGUCUGAUUAGCUAGUUGGUGAGGUAACGGCUCACCAAGGCGACGAUCAGUAGCUGGUCUGAGAGGAUGAUCAGCCACAUUGGGACUGAGACACGGCCCAAACUCCUACGGGAGGCAGCAGUGGGAAUAUUGGACAAUGGGCGCAAGCCUGAUCCAGCCAUGCCGCGUGAGUGAUGAAGGCCCUAGGGUUGUAAAGCUCUUUUGGCGGGACGAUGAUGACGGUACCCGCAGAAUAAGCCCGGCUAACUUCGUGCCAGCAGCCGC